rnacentral:lncRNA from 1 species
CGAGUCUUUAAAAGAUCCGGUUCAAACGUUAGUGUCACUUGAUCUGCGCCAUUUGCGGGUAGCCUAUUUAUUGAUUCACUGACAAGAUCCGACUCGAUCCGAAUCGGUUAUGCAAAAUGUUUGAUUCGCUCAAAAGAUUCAGUGCAAAGGAUUAAUUUGUGGCGGACUUAGACAAUUCAAAAAUACGUUUUAUUGGUGUUGUUUUACAGCACACGAUCUCAAAUUCAAUGUAUACGGUAACAUUACGUCAGGUCUUUCUUUUUAUAUAACGUUAGCUUGAUGGACGCAUCGCGUGAGCAAAUCCGCACGCGCGAGAAAUAGGUUACCAAGACACAAACCUAAUUGCCUGGAAAUCUUUUCCUUCACAUCAAACUUACUUUGGGCUUUUAGUCAUUAGUGCCAGUGCUCGAAGAUUCAACACAUUUCUUUCCCUUCUGGAUAUGUCCCUCCAGGAUUGCAAAAAACUGCAGUGCACCGAGGCCCAACACAGCCAUGGAAACACUUCACAAAACACCUGUCAGACCUGAUCCUGUUCAAACACCUGCUUCAGGAAUCACAGCCUACCAUCAGCGGUAAGGCCUCUGACUUUAUUCUUUAUGACACUGCUUUAUCAUGUAUGGAGAACGUUGCAAUAAGAGUUGCAAUCAUAAAAAGAAGGUUGGAUAAUAGAGAAACACUGCUGCAGGAAACAAAUAAGAGAAAACAAUGUGUGUUUAUGCAUGUAUGAGCUGGAAUACAUUUCAAGCAUAAACAAUGGGAACAUUGCUAUCUCACUGUUCAUGUGUGUCUAAACCUAAAAUGAGAAUAUGGC